rnacentral:rRNA from 1 species
UACAGAGGGGGCAAGCGUUGUUCGGAAUUACUGGGCGUAAAGGGCGCGUAGGCGGCCUUCUAAGUCGAACGUGAAAUCCCCGGGCUCAACCCGGGAACUGCGUCCGAUACUGGAAGGCUUGAAUCCGGGAGAGGGAUGUGGAAUUCCAGGUGUAGCGGUGAAAUGCGUAGAUAUCUGGAGGAAUACCGAUGGCGAAGGCAGCCUCCUGGGCCAACACUGACGCUCAUGCACGAAAGCGUGGGGAGCAAACAGG